AAAACACAUCAAACGAAUGUACAAUAACUGUAUUAUUCCUGACUUAGUACAGGCAUUUUCAAAUGUAGAAAAUGGUGGAUUGAACCUGGUUUUAUAGAACUAAACCUCUUACUUGUAUGACAGUCGCAUAAAGUCCAUUAUAUUUGAACGAUGUGUGAACAAAACAGACAUAUAGGGAAAAUAGUCAAAAUAUGGAUACUGCAGUCUGUGUCACAAUCUCAAAACAAACCAAAAAACAAUAUUUAACAAAAAAGCACAAAAAGCUUAGAAACAGUAGGAGCUAUAUGAUGGUAAUAUAAGAUGGUAAUGUAGCAACACG
rnacentral:lncRNA from 1 species